ACGCGCGUCCGCCCGACUUACUAUUGUUGAAGGUACGGCUCACCGAGCACACGGCGCGCGAGGAGCGGGAAUGGCCUAGCAGGCGCGCCACACCGUUUCGAGCUUAGAGACUCGCGGCGAUGAACGAAGCGCUUUCCUCAUUCCUCGAGUGGAGCCGUACAUUCCAGUCACCCUGUAUAAUAAUGUAAUAUAUCAUAACAUGAUAUCAUACCUUAGCACGAACACAAUCUCAAUUUCAAUUUGCACUGGUCUCCACUAACUUCGAAGACAGUGGAGCAAAAGUUGAACUCAGUGCAAAUUUUUUGCACCAGUUUUAUCAACGGAAUAUUAAACACUAAACUCUCUCUCUUUUCACAGUGGAACAACACAAUUGCAUUCCAGUGCACACCAGUGUUGCACCAAUUUUCCCAAUGGAAAACGUUAUAAGAUUCUCAGCCAUUGGGGAAUCUUUUCGCAGCAUGAAAAGUACCGGCUUGUACUUUAUCACGUAUUAUUCCUGGAACAGAGUCAUCUAUGAAACUCCAGAUACCGAAGAAAAAUGGAAUCCACACACAUGUUGCUGACAAUUAUCUGAGACAAUAGAGUGUAUCAAACUGCAUCGGUGCAAUGGAUAGCAGGCGCUUGCUUUUGAUUGUUUAAUCUUCUUGGGAUAGUCUAAAUAUUGUGAUCUUAAAUUAUUUAUCUUUUUGCAAUUUCUAUUGUUAUUGGUUGUUUUGUGAUCUCUGUAUACUGAUCGUAUAUCAUUUGUAGAGCUUUUUCUCUUUUUAUACGAUUAUGAAUCCACAGAUUUUACAAUGU